rnacentral:rRNA from 1 species
AGCGAACGCUGGCGGCAGGCUUAACACAUGCAAGUCGAACGGGCACUUCGGUGUCAGUGGCAGACGGGUGAGUAACGCGUGGGAACAUACCUCUUGGUUCGGAACAACACAGGGAAACUUGUGCUAAUACCGGAUAAGCCCUUACGGGGAAAGAUUUAUCGCCGAGAGAUUGGCCCGCGUCUGAUUAGCUAGUUGGUGUGGUAAAAGCGCACCAAGGCGACGAUCAGUAGCUGGCUGAGAGGAUGAUCAGCCACAUUGGGACUGAGACACGGCCCAAACUCCUACGGGAGGCAGCAGUGGGAAUAUUGGACAAUGGGCGCAAGCCUGAUCCAGCCAUGCCGCGUGAGUGAUGAAGCCCUAGGGUUGUAAAGCUCUUUUGUACGGGAAGAUAAUGACGGUACCGUAAGAAUAAGCCCCGCUAACUUCGUGCCAGCAGCCGCCGCGGUAAU